GCUCUCUUUUGCAUAGCCAAUUUUGGUUAUAAUUUACCAACUUCCUUUAGUUGAACAGUUUAAAAUCAAUUUAAGAUUACAGCUGUAUAGUUCUAUUCAUCUACUUAGACAUAAAUCUUCCCACAAAUUAUAAAUAGUACUAACAAUUAAACGGAGUAUUGCUUCAAAUUCUCAUCAAUGCCAAGGACCAACGCAUAAUUAAUCUUUCUUAUGAGUGGCAUCAGCCAUUGCCCCAAAUGCAAUGCCUGACUAGCUUGCCUUUCUUCUCUACAUGACAUGCACCAUCACCAAUCCUCUUUGCAGUAAUCAUCUCUACUUGUAUUCUGAUUCAGAGGGUACACAGAGAGUAGAAGGGGCCUGGAACGCAUUGCUGGUGGUAGCGGAGGAAACAUAUACGAUAAUAGAAUUUGAGUGGCUUUCAGAGAGGCGCAUGGAAGUGCAUGGAACAGAGGCAUAUGGAUCAUAUUCAGGCAGAAUUGCGAGUAGAUGGAGAAUAGUUUUUGCCUGGAAGCCAAGAAUUACAAAUAAAAAUGUGAACCUAUCUCUGAACUUUUUAUGAACUCAAGAUGCUCCAAAACAGUUUUGCAAUGGAGGAAUCAGUUUUUGAAUUAUAGUUACUGACAAACACAGAAGCCAAUUUAUAAAUGGCAAUGGACCACAAAUAAGCAAGAAAUAUGACCAAGUAAUUACUUAAAUGUGAUGGGAAAGCACAACCCCCCAAGCCUUUCUACUUGUCACUUUAAUUUCAUGUUUCACAUAUUUUGUGUUUUUUUAUGUUGGCAGAUCAAUUUCCCCCCUGGGUUAAAUAAAGUUCUAUCGUAUAGUA